AGGUCUGACGUUCUUUCCGGCAUCAAGUUUGCUUGCUGUCGUUUCACUCCCCCUCGGCUGCCGCCGCUGCUGCUGUUGUGGAAGAAAAAAAAACCCGUUAAUUUUUUUUUAAAAAGAACAGAUUAAAUAUAAUCAUCCUAAGAAUGGCCGCGGCAACUGCCACCACAGCGGGUCUAAGCGAUUCGACAUCCAGCGCCGUCAAUAACGGCAGCGGCAGCAGCACAGACUGCGGGGCUCGGGCCCUGCUGGCCCUCAAGUCGGCUCCUUGCAGCCCGUCCCGGGUUCAGGUUCACUGGGACCCCGAGGAGGACUUGAGUAACGCCUGUGACGGCUCGAGUUCCUCGCCAUCGGGCGGCGGGGCGGCCUCUGGGCACCGGCACCAGCCCGGGCCCGAGGUGCUGGCCCGGCUGGAGGGCCGCGACUUUGAGUUUCUGAUGAAGAAGAGGAGCGUGACUAUCGGCCGCAACUCGAGCCAGGGCCAGGUGGACGUCAACAUGGGCCACUCCAGCUUCAUCUCCCGCAGGCACUUGGAGAUCUUCCGUGGCGGAGAGGCAGCCGCCGCCGGCUUUUUCCUGAAGUGUUUGGGCAAGAACGGGGUGUUCGUGGAUGGUGUCUUCCAGCGGAGAGGAGCGCCGCCGCUGCAGCUGCCCCGGGUAUGUACCUUCAGGUUCCCCAGCACAAAUAUCAAGAUCUCAUUUACCGCAUUGUGCAGUGUCAAAAAAGAAAAACAGGAGGCUCCAGAAUCCCCAGUGAGGCCAGUGCAACCACAAAUCUCACCUUUGAAGAUAAACAUUCCAGACAACAUAGCUGAUCUGAUCAGUCCCUUACCUUCUCCCACUGGAACAAUCAGUGCAGCAAACUCCUGUCCUUCCAGCCCAAGAGGUGCAGGUUCCUCUGGCUACCGAAUAAGUCGUGGACUUCAUUCUGACCUGCAGCUGAUGUCUGACCAUGUACAAAAUAAUUCAGAGAAUGACAAGGAAACAUCAGAUGGGGACAGCCCAAAGGAUGAUGCAAAACCACCUUACUCCUAUGCACAAUUAAUAGUUCAAGCCAUUACAACAGCACCAGAUAAGCAACUUACAUUAAGUGGAAUCUACACACAUAUCACAAAGAAUUAUCCAUAUUACAGGACAGCAGACAAAGGUUGGCAGAAUUCCAUCCGACAUAAUCUUUCCCUAAACCGCUACUUCAUUAAGGUACCACGUUCCCAGGAGGAGCCUGGAAAAGGCUCAUUCUGGAGGAUAGACCCUGCUUCUGAAAGCAAACUAACAGAGCAGGCUUUCAGGAAAAGAAGGCCAAGGGGUGUGCCCUGCUUCAGAACUCCUUUGGGACCCCUUUCUUCCAGAAGUGCACCAGCUUCUCCAAGCCACCCCGGUGUGUUUUCAUCCCACUCCAGUGGUGUUCAAACCCCAGAGAGCCUGUCCAGGGAAGGCUCUCCAGUCCCCACAGAUCAUGAAUCUAGCACUGUGCAACCUAAAUUAGCAGUAAUACAGGAGGGAAGAUGUGCUCAAAGUGCACCAGGAUCACCUAUGUCAGCUCAGCCGGUUUUAAUCACUGUGCAACGGCAAAUUUCACAGUCUAUGAAACCAGUUACGUAUACAGUAGCCACCCCUGUUACAUCAACAUCCCAGCAGCCUAUGUUGCAAACAGUUCAUGUGGUUCAUCAGAUACCUGCUGUAUCUGUUACUAUGGCUAGCCUACCAGCAAACAGCUACACCGUAGCUAACCAGUCAGUUGUGACACAGGCAAUGGUUAGCCAAGCCAAAAUGGAAUGCCCAGAAAAUGGAGAACAAAAGGAAGUGAAAGUCAAAGUGGAGCCUGUUUCAGCAAUUACACCAAUAGGCACUGCCAAUCGCUUCAUUCAAACUUCGCAAGGUACACCCAUACAGACAGUUACUAUACUACAGCAGGCUCCUCUGGGCCAGCACCAGUUACCCCUUAAACCAAUUGCACAGAAUGGAACACAUGUAGUACCCAUCUCUUCGGUAACACAUGGACAAGCUAAUACUGCUGCUGCAAGCCCAUUGCACAUGUUGGCAACUCAUGCAUCUGCCUCAGCAUCCCUUCCUACAAAGCGCCAAAAUGGAGAUCAAGGAGAGCAGCCAGAGAUUAAACGUAUCAAAACAGAAGAUGGAGAAAGUAUACUUGUUGCUGUCAAAGUGGAAGCCCCAACUGUGGCUGCAGGUGUACAGAGCAGCCAGAACUAAGGAUUAGGAGAUGGAACGCAGCUAACCUUUUAUCAAUUGCAAGGUGCCAAAAGGACAAGCCUAACUCAAUAUCUAGAACUCCAGCAUGUGUUGACUCGUUGGGGGUUAUGGGGCCCUGUAUGAGCGACUGUGAACUGCAGCACUGAGAAAUGGGAAGCCUUAAAACACAAUAAGUUAAAGAAACUGAACAAAUUUACAAAGUAACACCCCUCAUGAGAGGCUGUUCCUCCUGCUCAACUACCUCAGUGCUCACUGGGAAAGGAGGAGGUGGAGAGGGCCUCAGCUAGCCACACAUCUGAUACUUAUGGACUUGAGCACACCAAUGUGACGGCAGCAUGGCGAGUGCUUUAAAGAACACCAAUAACACAAGAUUGUAUGUUACAUAAAGGGAACAAAGGAUCUUUUGAAUAUGCGUGGAAAAGGUGAUCAUCCAAGCAGUGUGCUGACUGGCUUUAACAAGACUUUGGGUCUCAUUGGAUUCCUCCCAAAAUAAGAGCCAAAUCUGAUCUAAGUACUUACUCUGAUAAUAGCUGCAAGUGAUUUCACUACAAUGACUUAUUUUUGGGAAGCUACAUUUUCUCAAGAGUAAAUAAAAGGGGAUGUGCCCAACACUGUCAAGAUCAUUUAUUUCAAAAGGCCGUUGGAGCUGCCUUUACAUCUUGAAGUAAGGAUUCCCCCUGUGAAGAGUAGACCCUUGACUAACAAGUCAACAUGACACCAAGAUGAUUUGCACAUGACAUUUUGAUCUUCCAAACAUGCUACCUGUUACAGACUCUAAGGAAAAAAUUCAGCAGCACUCCACCUCAAGAGGACAUAUUUGACAGGAUGGAACAUUGGAAGCAGGAGUCAUUAUGUCGUUUGUUGGGUUUCAGAAUCGAAUCCAGAAAUAAAAAGAUUCCAAAUGCUUCUGGUCUGUAUGCUUAUGUCAAUGAUUCAUCACUCAGUAACACUUUCAACAACAGCAUUGGAAAAGAAUCACACAAACUGUUUUUGUUCUAUCAAGUGAACAACAGGAAUUCUUUUUAAAUAGAAUAACUUUACAGCUCACAAAUAAACUACAUUC